GGGGAGCCGUCUACAUUUAAGAACCGUGCAGGUCACGUGCUGGCACAGCGUUUAGGCGCAGAAAAGAUGCGAGCAGCACCGGUACCACUGCCCGUUUUGAGAGAUCAAGCAAGGCUCAUUUCGAAGAGGACAGCUUCGAGCAAAGCAGAGCAGGCGGAUGGAAAAAACUAAAGUCAAAUGCGGUGCCGACAGUGUUUUCCUUCAGACCUUUGCCUUCUCACAAAGAGGCACCGGACCCGCUGUCCUCUCAGCCCUACCUGAUGAUUAACAUGACAUAGCCACUGAUGAUCAUGAAGCAGCGAUGGACCCAAUGUCGUCACCAGGCAGGUUUGAGCAGACUCAAGGACAGAAUUGCAGCCCACAAGACGCCUGCUCAAGGGCACUGACUGGUAGCAGACGAAGCAGGUCUGCAAGUCUCAGCCAAAUGAAUGCUGGGGUUUCUGACCUGCAGUCUACUUGUACCUCUUGAACAUAAUUAAGUAAGCAGCUCGCAGACCUGACACAGAAAUACUGCGAACUUCAAUAAUUGCACACCCAGCCAAUCUCCACAAUCCAAUGUCUCCGAAAAAAGUUAAAAAGCUCGAAGGUAACAUCGAAACAUUCGGAAAGAACAUCAACUUCCUUAACGAAGACCAAAUACAGGCACAGUAGAGCAACAGCACCAAAGGGAGUACUUGGUCUCCACAAAGUGUAA